UCUUCUGAUCUAACAGAUCUGCGCUUCCAGAGUGCAGCUAUUGGUGCUUUGCAGGAGGCAAGUGAGGCUUAU